AUUUAAAACACAGCUAGAUAAGUGCAAUAAACAAGAUCACGUCCCCUGUGGAUUCACUGGGAGCCUUCGGCGGGCCAGGCAGACAGAUUCAACCAUCUGCUCAAUGAUUGUGGGAGCAAGUCAUCAGAGGAACGAAUUACAAAAAGAAGUAACUUCCAUGGAAAUUUCCAACGAAUCCAUAAAGAGAUUGUCCAGAGGAAAGGGCUUGGAAAACAGACCAAUCAUGGAUUUACAGGGGAUUUGGAAAGUCAAACACAAGAACCUAUGCUUUACCUUUUGGUUUAAAAAUAAUACUAUCCUUAACCUUUGUAGCACCAGUGUUAUUUCAAGCAACUCUGGUUUAUAGAAACUAUCCUGUGGGAAAUGAUUUAUA